GUGUGUCAGUUAAAUGCACAACCUUUUUAUUUGUAUUUUGAGGUUUAUGUCAUUAUUUUUGAUAUGGUAUUGAUAUGUACUACAGCUCCGGUGAACCCUGAAGUAGUCUCAGGUAGAGGGGGUGGGAGCAAGUGGGGAGCCGUGUGCACUCUGCAGGAAGCGAGAGAGACGAGAGCUGAACAGUGUCGAGUGAACGCAGAGUUCAUAGAGGGCCGACGGACGUAUUUUCGGGUUGACGGAUAGUUAACUGGAGUGAAAAGCUGUUGUACCCUACUGUGAGUAGGAGGAGACGGACGUCUUGCUGGCGUGUCGGAGAAGUCCCUUCUGCUGGUGUGCUGAACUUAUGUGUUCACGUGGGAGCACGUGGCGAGGACGACUGUGAGUGCUGCUGCCGUGGCCUGCUGGUAGCCUUGACCCAGUUUCCCCUGCUAUCCCCUUGAACUGCCUGGAGGUGUGAGUACUGUUUGCACGUGCUUUUUAUUUUACUGCUUGGCAACAAGUGAAGCGACCAUAUUGUUUUAGGUCCCAACGCACCCGAGCCACGACUCAGGCCUGCAACGAGGGGUUGGCUAGCAGAAAGACUGUAGCACUUGAGGUCUGUGUGUGUCGGUGAGAGUGUGUGUGGGCCCACAAUAUUGUUUGAUUAUUUUGUUUCUGUUAAAGUAGAUACAUUACAUUGUUUAACAAACUUUAUUAAUUUUACUUAUUUUCUUCUGUGUCGUUAAUUAAUCAUUUACUAAAGUGGAGUUAACUUU